rnacentral:rRNA from 1 species
AUACGUAGGGGGCAAGCGUUAUCCGGAUUUAUUGGGUUUAAAGGGAGCGUAGGCGGGAGCUUAAGUCAGCGGUUAAAUGGUGCGGCUCAACCGUGCCCUGCCGUUGAAACUGGGUUUCUUGAGAGUGCAAGAGGCGGAUGGAAUUCAUGGUGUAGGGGUGAAAUGCUUAGAUAUCAUGAAGAACUCCGAUUGCGAAGGCAGUCCGCUGGGGCACGUCUGACGCUGAUGCUCGAAGGUGCGGGAAUCAAACAGGAUUAGAUACCCUGGUAGUCCGCACGGUAAACGAUGAUUACCCGCUGUCGGCGGCAGACAGUCGGCGGCCAAGCGAAAGCGAUAAGUAAUCCACCUGGGGAGUACGCCGGCAACGGUGAAACUCAAAUGAAUUGGCGGGG